rnacentral:lncRNA from 1 species
GCUGCCUGCUAUACUCUUCAUGCCAACUUGAAUUUUGAGCUUCCUUCCUCUGUGAUUGUCUGCAUUUCCAAGAGGUCUGUAAGUUGUCCACACCUAGUGAUCGCCACCUGAAGAUCAGGCAUGAAGGCUCCAGACUGCAGAGAUGGCUCAAAGAUGGUUUCUUCCCUAAAAAAUAUCACCAGAUGUACUCCAAACAGCUGAAUCCUGCACACCUCACGUA